rnacentral:rRNA from 1 species
GGGGGACCGUAUGAAGAAAGCUGAAGACUUUUCUCAAUGAUGUAAGUGGUGGUGCAUGGUCGUUCUUAGUUCGUGGAUUGAUUUGUCUGGUCUAUUCCGAUAACGAGCGAGACCCCGACGUUCCUAAUAGGGGUGGCAGCCCGGCUUGACUGCCUCGGUGGACUUGCUAGCAGCCACCUAAUUAGCUUCUUAGACGUAUCAGAGCCGAUAAGGUUCUUGAAAUGGGUUAAUAACAGGUCAGUCAUGCCCUUAGAUGUUCUGGGCCGCACGCGCGUUACAAUGGUAUACAUUAGAACGUGCUCUCAAGGGCGUCUCCGCGGCCGACGGGUCGCGGUAACCCCUAAUCUCUCCCUUGACUGGGACAGACUAUUGCAAUUAUUGGUCUCCAACGAGGAAUUUUUAGUAGGCACAGGUCAUUAACCUGUGCCGAAUGCGUCCCUGCCCUUUGAACAAACGGGUAUUUCACUGCCAUUCACGAAAAGAUAAAACGGUAGGCUGGACGGAGUCUUUACCGUAAGGAAGUAGUGAAGGAGUACCCUAAUCGGGGGGCAAAAAGGGGGGGUCCAAUAAGGCCUUCUCUAGUCCAACAACGGAUAACUGGGGGGGAAGUAACUGCUCGUACAACCUGGCUGGCACCUAACUGGACGAACGACUUCAUGCCCUCCCUAAUUUCCCGCGUCUAGACCGAAUCGACGGUCGAGUGGUACGUCUUCUUGGCUUCCUUUGCUGGUUGUCAGGGGGGCGGUUUUUUAUCACGGGGCGACACUGAGCAAAUUGCGGGGACGUUUCUAUGCCACACGCCUACCAACCAGUUCCUUGAAAAGGGCUCUGGGGCCAGGGAUAAUUCCCCUGGGUACGGUAACAACGGAGUGUGGGGAGAUUACCUGCAGCCAGCCCUUCGGAUAGGGAGGUUUACGCCUUUCGACGCCGGUGGGUGCAGUUCACAGACUAAACGCCAGUGGGUGGCCCUAAAAGCUGCUU